rnacentral:lncRNA from 1 species
CAGAUCCCUUGCCCGUUUUUACUUUGUAUUGUCUUUUUAUUGAGUUUUCUGAAAUUUUUAUUCUGGAUAUUGUCUUUUUAAUUUAUUGAUUGUGUCCUUUGAAGCACAAACUUCUUUAAUUUUCAUGAAUUUCAAUUUACUCUUUUGUCAUUUGUGCUUUGGUGUUAUAUCUAAAACCAUUGCCUAAUUUAAGAUCCCAAAGAUGUAUUCCUCUAAGAUUUUAUAGCUUUUUACCCCUUACAUUGGGAUUUUUGAAUCACUUUGAAUUACUUUUUGGAUAUAUCAUUAGGAAGGAGUUCAUUUUAUUCUUUUCUAAUGUGGCUACACAUUUUCUUAAUCCAGUCUAUCAUUGAUGGACAUCUGGGUUAGUACCAAGUCUUUGCUAUUGUGAAUAGUGCCGCAGUAGACAUACAUGUGCGUGUGUCUUUAUAGCAAGCUGAUUUAUAAUCCUUUGGGGAUAUACCCAGUAAUGGGAUGGCUGGGUCAAAUGGUAUUUCUAGUUCUAGAUCCCUGAGGAAUCACCACACUGACUUCCACAAUGGUUGAAGUAGUUUACAGUCCCACCAACAGUGUAAAAGUGUUCCUAUUUCUCCAUAUCCUCUCCAGCACCUGUUGUUGCCUGACUUUUUAAAUGAUUGCCAUUCUGACUGGUGUGAGAUGGUAUCUCAUUGUGGUUUUGAUUUGCAUUUCUCUGAUGGCCAGUGAUGAUGAGCAUUUUUUCAUGUGUCUGUUGGCUGCAUAAAUGUCUUUUUUUGAGACGUUUCUUUUUUUAAAUUUCUUCUUUUCAUUUUCUUUUGAGAUAGAGUCUCACUCUGUCACUCAGGCUGGAGUGCGGUGGCACAGUCUCUGCUCACUGCAACCUCCGUCUGCCAGCUUCAAGCGAUUCUCCUGUCUCAGCAUCCCAAGUAGCUGGUACCACAGGUGCGCACCAUCAUGCCUGGCUAAUUUUUGUAUUUUUAGUAGAGACAGGGUUUUGCCAUGUUGAUCAGGCUGGCCUCGAUCUCCUGACCUCAGGUGAUCCACCUGCGUCGGCCUCCCAAAGUGCUGGGACUACAGGUGUGAGCUACCGUGCCUGGUCCUGACUUCGUUAUUAUUAAAAAGAUUCCUGAGUCUUUCUUAUUUUAAUAGAUUCACUUAGUUUAUUACAAAUUGUUAUAGGAAAGUAAUUCAACCGUAAUUCUUCUUAAUUGAUAACUUCUGCAUCUCGCCAAUGUUGCGGUAAUUGAUGAUGAUGAUCUUCCGGAAGCACUGCAUGUUUUUCAUAUACCUGCUGAAUAUUACAGAUUAUAUUCUGUUCUAUAUACAGAUUAUAUUCUGUUUUAUAAACUUUUAUUAUUAAGUGCAUCCUAUUGUGUUCUAAUUUUUGUAUAAUUGUAUUUCAUGGAAAAUAUUUAUCUUAACUCUAAUAUAUGUAAACCUCAAUACAAGACACAGAGGAUAUAUUAUCUGCAUAUAUAUCUCAUGUUAUUUUCCUGCUAAAUAUGUUCAGAAUUAGAUUGUAUAAUUCUGAAUUCUCUUUUUUUUUUUUUUUUUUUUUUGAGAUGGAGUCUCGCUCUGUUGCCCAGGCUGGAAUGCAGUGGUGCGAUUUCGGCUCACUGCAAGCUCCGUCUCCCGGGUUCAUGCCAUUCUCCUGCCUCAGCCUCCUGAGUAGCUGGGACUAGAGGCGCCUGCCACCACGCCUGGCUAAUUUUUUUUUUUUUUUUUUUGUAUUUUUAGUAGAGACGGGGUUUCACCGUGUUUGCCAGGAUGG